GAUGAACGCUGGCGGCGUGCCUAAUACAUGCAAGUCGAGCGAACGGACGAUAAGCUUUCUUCUCUGAUGUUAGCGGCUGACGGGUGUGUAACACGUGCAUAACCUACCUAUUUUUCUUGGAUAACUUCGUGAAACCUUAUCUUAUACCGCCUAAUAUUUUGUACCGCUUUCUUCAAUUGUUCUUUACGCUCUUGCUGUCUCUUUUAGAUGCUUCCGCGCUGCAUUAGUUAGUUGGUAAGGUAACGGCUUACCAAGGCAACGAUGCAUAGCCGACCUGAGAGGGGGAUCGGACACACUGGAAGUGAGACACGGACAAGACGCGUACGGGAGGCAGCAGUAGGGAAUAUUAGGCAAUGGGCGAAAGCAUGACGGAGCAAGGCCGCGUGAGUGAAGAAGGUCUUCGGAUCGUAAAACUGUGUUAUUAGGGAAGAAAAGAAGGGGAAGAAAAUGUGCAGAUAGUGACGGUACCGAAAGAGAAAGCAACGGCUAACUACGUG
rnacentral:rRNA from 1 species